CUUUUCCAGCUGUGGACUACAUGAUCUUGAAAGCACAACUUGAAACUGAGAUCAGAUGAACCCUCUGGACCUGGCCAGAGGACAAGUUUCCUUUUGCUGGAUCCAGUAAUUCUCUCACCUCUGUGGAAAUCCUGCUUUUCAAUGUGCAUGCUUGCUGUCAAGGUAUACAAGGAGCAUAAAGAAGGUAUAAAAGGACUAUGAAAGAAGACUAGCUCAGGCAUCUGCAUUUCAUGAGCUGAAAAAAAGAGCCAAACCAGUGGACAGCCUACGGAACCCAGUAUAAUUUGAGGCUUGCCUACAUCAAGAUUUUUGGCUUGAAAGGAGGACCAGUCAGAGGAUAUUGUCUCAUAGAAGCUUGUAGUAUG
rnacentral:lncRNA from 1 species